rnacentral:lncRNA from 1 species
GGGGAUGAAUGGGGGCAGAUGGGGAUGGAUGGGGGCGGGUGGGGAUGAAUGGGGAUGAAUGGAGAUAAAUAGGGGCAGAUGAGGGCAUAUGGGGACAUGGGGAUGGAUGGGGGCGUAUGUGGACAGGUGGGAGCAGGAGGGCAUGAAUGGGGAUGAAUGGGGACAGAUGGGGACGUAUGGGGUCAGAGAAGGAUGUAUGGGAGCAUAUGGGGAUAUAUGGGGCCAGAUGGGGAUGUAUGGGGUCAGAUAAAGGCGUAUGGGGACGUAUGGACACAGGUGGGGACAGAAAAGGAUAUAUGGGGAUGGGGGGGGACAGAUGGGAGCAUAUAGGGACAGGUGGGGACAGGAGGGCAUGAAUGGGGAUGAAUGGGGACAGAUGGGAACGUAUGGGGUCAGAGGGAGAUGUAUGGGAACGUACGGUGAUGUAUGGGGUCAGACGGGGAUGAAUGGGGCCACAGGCAGUUGGGGAGGUGGGGGGGACACCAAUGGGACGUAUAGGAACGCGUGGGGACGUGGAUGGGCCAUAUGGGGUCCCCCGCACUCACCUGGGGGUCUCCGGGUUCCCACGUGGGGUCUUCGGGUUCCUCCUUCAGCCCCGGUGACACCUUUGGGGGGGGGGGGGGGGGGGACACAACACGGCGGUGAUGUGGGGGUCCCAAACCCCACAGUGCCCCAUUGAGAGCCCACAGUCCCCCAUGGGAUCUCCAGGGUCCCCAAUAGGGCCAUCCCCCUCCCCAGCGGUGGCCCCAAAUGCCCCCCCAUGACUCCAUAUCCCCAGCGAUGACCCCGGGUGUUCCCAUAUCCCCCCGUGACCCAUAGCCCCCCAUACCCACCCACGUCCCCAUAGCCCCCCACGACCCC